rnacentral:rRNA from 1 species
GGUGAACGCUGGCGGCGUGCUUAAGACAUGCAAGUCGAACGGCAGUCUUCGGACUGUAGUGGCGCACGGGUGAGUAACGCGUAACUGACCUACCCCAAAGUCGCGGAUAACGAUUCGAAAGAAUCGCUAAUACGUGAUGUGCUGUCAGAUUGUGUUCUGCCAGUAAGAUUGAUUGCUUUGGGAUGGGGUUGCGUUCCAUCAGCUAGUUGGUGGGGUAAAGGCCCACCAAGGCGACGACGGAUAGCCGGCCUGAGAGGGUGGCCGGCCACAGGGGCACGGAGACACGGGUCCCACUCCUACGGGAGGCAGCAGUUAGGAAUCUUCCACAAUGGGCGAAAGCCUGAUGGAGCGACGCCGCGUGAGGGAUGAAGGUCUUCGGAUCGUAAACCUCUGAAUCAGGGACGAAAGACACUUCGGUGGGAUGACGGUACCUGAGUAAUAGCACCGGCUAACUCCGUGCCAGCAGCCGCAGUAAGAC